rnacentral:lncRNA from 1 species
UUUUUUUUUUUUUUUUUUUUGGAGACAGAGUCUCACUGUCGCCUGGGCUGGAGUGCAGUGGCACCAUCUCGGCUCACUGCAACCUCCUCCUCUAGAGUUCAAGCGAUUCUCCUGCCUCAGCCUCCUGAGUAGCUGGGAUUACAGGCGUGUGCCACUGCACCCGGCUAAUUUUUGUAUUUUUAGUAGAGAUGGGGUUUGACCAUGUUUGGCCAGGUUGGUCUUGAACUCCCAACCUCAGGUAAUCUACCCACCUCGGCCUCCCAAAGUGCUAGGAUUACAGGCAUGAGCCACUGUGCCUAGCCUUUUUAUUUUUAUUUUUUUGUAUUUUUAGUAGAGACGAGGUUUCACUAUGUUGGCCAGGCUGGUCUCAAACUCCUGACCUAGUGAUCUGCCCGCCUCGGCCUCCCAAAGUGUUUGGAUUGCAGGCAGGAGCCACCGCGCCCGGCCUUUUCCAUGUUUUAGAACCAAUAUAUGUAUAUGUACAUCUAUAUUUCUUUCCUUUUUGUUUUUUUCUUUUUGAGAUAGGGUCUCAGUGUCACCUAGGCUGGUGUGCAGUGGCACAAUCAUAGCUCACUGAAGGCUACAGGCAUACGGCAUCAUGUCUUACUAGAUUUUUGUAUUUUUUGUAGAGACGGGGGUCUCACUAUGUUGCCCAGGCUGGUCUCAACCCCAUGGGCUUAAGCAAUCUUCCUGCCACGGCCCCCCGAAGUGCUGGGAUUUCCGGCGUGAGCCACCAUGCUUGACCCUGUGUUUACUUAUUAGGUCCUCUAAACUUUGCUGCACAGUAGCGAUUGCCAUGACCCUACUCAUUUUUCACAUUCUUUGAGAAGAUGAAGGCAAGGUAUAUUUAGAAAACCUGCCUGAGAUCUUGAAGAUCACGAACAGCUGUCAGCUUCUGGAAGCCCAGCUCUUCACUGCUGCACUCAGUUGCCUAUCCUAGGAAGAAUAAGGAAGUGAGGGGCCAGGUGUGGUGGUUCACUCCUGUAAUCCCAGCACAUUGGGAAGCCGAGGCAG